AUUGAACGCUGGCGGCAGGCCUAACACAUGCAAGUCGAACGAGUGGCGGACGGGUGAGUAAUUUCUGGGAAACUGCCUGAUGGAGGGGUAUAACUACUGGAAACGGUAGCUAAUACCGCAUACCAUCGGAUGUGCCCAGAUGGGAUUAGCUAGUAGGUGGGGUAACGGCUAACCUAGGCGACGAUCCCUAGCUGGUCUGAGAGGAUGACCAGCCACACGGGAACUGGGACACGGUCCAGACUCCUACGGGAGGCAGCAGUGGGGAAUAUUGCACAAUGGGCGCAAGCCUGAUGCAGCCAUGCCGCGUGUAUAAAGAAGGCCUUCGGGUGGUAAAGUACUUUAAGCGGGGAGGCGUUACCCGCAGAAGAAGCACCGGCUAACUCCGUGCCAGCAGCCGCGGUAAUUC
rnacentral:rRNA from 1 species